GAACAGCAUAACCAUCAGAAAAAGAGAGAGAGAAAGGAAAACGUCAAACCUCCCAGAGAGUGGCCCGCCUUUAUUAUCAUCAUGCAACGGACCACCACCACCACGCCACAGCGCGGCAGGGCAGCGGCAGCCCCACUCUCCACAUCUCACAUCACUCUCCACGAAUCAAUCGCCACACCAGGCAACAAAAAACCGAGCAGGAAAAAGAAAGCAGGAA
rnacentral:lncRNA from 1 species